GUCGGCGUGGCGGAACGGCAGACGCGCUAGCUUGAGGGGCUAGUGUCCGAAUGGACGUGAGGGUUCAAAUCCCUCCGCCGACACCA
rnacentral:tRNA from 1 species